GACGUCGAAUAUCGACGUCAUAAACACCAAAGUUGAUGGUGUUUAUGACGUCGCAUAUCGACGUCAUAAACACCAAAGUUGAUCGUGUUUAUGACGUCGAAUAUCGACGUCAUAAACACCAAGGUUGAUCGUGUUUAUGACGUCGAAUAUCGACGUCAUAACCACCAAAGUUGAUCGGGUUUAUGACGUCGAAUAUCGACGUCAUAAACACCAAAGUUGAUCGUGUUUAUGACGUCGAAUAUGGACGUC